rnacentral:rRNA from 1 species
UGCCUCAGUAACGGCGAGUGAAGCGGCAACAGCUCAAAUUUGAAAUCUGGCUUCCGGGCCCGAGUUGUAAUUUGCAGAGGGAGUUUCGGAGGCGGCACCGGCCUAAGUCCCUUGGAACGGGGCGUCAUAGAGGGUGAGAAUCCCGUACGUGGCCGGUGGUCAAUUCCAUGUGAAACCCUUUCGACGAGUCGAGUUGUUUGGGAAUGCAGCUCAAAAUGGGUGGUAAAUUUCAUCUAAAGCUAAAUACCGGCCAGAGACCGAUAGCGCACAAGUAGAGUGAUCGAAAGAUGAAAAGCACUUUGGAAAGAGAGUUAAAAAGUACGUGAAAUUGUUGAAAGGGAAGCGCUUGCGACCAGACUUGCCCGCGGGUGAUCAGCCCCCCUUCGGGAGGGUGCACUCGCCCGUGGUCAGGCCAGCAUCGGUUUUGGCGGGCGGAUAAAGGCUCCAGGAAUGUAGCUCCCCUCGGGGAGUGUUAUAGCCUGGGGUGCCAUGCGCCCCGCCGGGACCGAGGACCGCGCUUCGGCUAGGAUGCUGGCGUAAUGGUCGUAAGCGACCCGUCUUGAAACACGGACCAAGGAGUCUAACAUCUGUGCGAGUGUUUGGGUGUCAAACCCAUGCGCGGAAUGAAAGUGAACGGAGGUGGGAGCCCCUUCCGGGGGGCGCACCAUCGACCGAUCCUGAUGUCUUCGGAUGGAUUUGAGUAGGAGCAUAGCUGUUGGGACCCGAAAGAUGGUGAACUAUGCCUGGAUAGGGUGAAGCCAGAGGAAACUCUGGUGGAGGCUCGCAGCGGUUCUGACGUGCAAAUCGAUCGUCAAAUCUGGGUAUAGGGGCGAAAGGUCAGUGCAUUUAUUCCUUUUGUGGUAGAGUCAGGGUGGAGACGUGCUAACAAUUU